rnacentral:rRNA from 1 species
UACGGGGGGGGCAAGCGUUGCUCGGAAUUACUGGGCGUAAAGGGCUCGUAGGCGGCCAACUAAGUCAGACGUGAAAUCCCUCGGCUUAACCGGGGAACUGCGUCUGAUACUGGAUGGCUUGAGUUUGGGAGAGGGAUGCGGAAUUCCAGGUGUAGCGGUGAAAUGCGCAGAUAUCAGGAAGAACACCCGUGGCUAAGGCGGCUCUCUAGUACGGUACUGACGCUGAGACGCGAAAGCGUGGGGAGCGAACAGG